GGACUCUUAGCUCAGUGGGAGAGCACCUGCUUGACGUGCAGGGGGUCAGGGGUUCAAAUCCCUUAGAGUCCACCA
rnacentral:tRNA from 1 species